rnacentral:rRNA from 1 species
UCGCGGCCUAUCUGCUUGUUGGUGAGGUAGCGGCUCACCAAGGGAACGACGGGUAGCUGGUCUGAGAGGACGAUCAGCCACACAGGGACUGAGACACGGCCCAGAUCCUACGGGAGGCAGCAGCAGGGAAUAUUGCACAAUGGGCGAAAGCCUGAUGCAGCGACGCCGCGUGAGGGAUGAAGGCCUUCGGGUUGUAAACCUCUUUCAGGAGGGAAGAAGCGAAAGUGACGGUACCUCCACAAGAAGCCCCGGCCAACUACGUGCCAGCAGCCGCGGUAAUACGUAGGGGGCAAGCGUUGUCCGGAUUCAUUGGGCGUAAAGAGCUCGUAGGCGGCUCAGCAAGUCGGUCGUGAAAGCCCGGGGCUCAACCCCGGGACGCCGAUCGAAACUGCUGUGGCUAGGGUCCGGUAGAGGAGAGUGGAAUUCCCGGUGUAGCGGUGAAAUGCGCAGAUAUCGGGAGGAACACCAGUAGCGAAGGCGGCUCUCUGGGCCGGCACCGACGCUGAGGAGCGAAAGCUAGGGGAGCAAACAGGAUUAGAUACCCUGGUAGUCCUAGCCGUAAACGUUGGGCACUAGGUGUGGCGGACUCAUUGACGUCUGCCGUGCCGCAGCAAACGCAUUAAGUGCCCCGCCUGGGGAGUACGG